UACGAAGGGGGCUAGCGUUGCUCGGAAUCACUGGGCGUAAAGGGCGCGUAGGCGGCCAUUCAAGUCGGGGGUGAAAGCCUGUGGCUCAACCACAGAAUUGCCUUCGAUACUGUUUGGCUUGAGUUUGGUAGAGGUUGGUGGAACUGCGAGUGUAGAGGUGAAAUUCGUAGAUAUUCGCAAGAACACCAGUGGCGAAGGCGGCCAACUGGACCAAUACUGACGCUGAGACGCGAAAGCGUGGGGAGCAAACAGG
rnacentral:rRNA from 1 species